UUACUUAUGAUUUUUGUUUUGGGAAAAUUUAUGAAUUAAAAUGUUUUGAAUUUCUUUUGAUGAUUUUAAAUCUGAUGUUAGAAAAAGAAAAUAUACAAUAAAAAAAAAAGAGAAAGAGAAGAAAAAGAAAGAAAACAACUCAUUUCCUUAUGUUUCGUGGCAUUGUGUGGGAAUGCCACAAUUGUACUUAGCUGUCCAAAUUUCAUAAAGCCUUAGUAAAGGUAAAUAGAAACCCCAACACCCUUCUUCAAAUUCAGACCCAAUUCAUCCAUUCCUUUGAUAUCUCAAGCUCGCAUCUUGUCAUCUGCACCUCUAUUUACUUUUCUCUUCGAAUUCCAUCUAAUUGCGAUCAACCAGUGAUGUUGUUUAGUGUUCUUAAUUUCGUUUCUCUCUCCUCUGCUUCCGCGGUGCUGCUGCUGCUGUCGUAAUGCCGCCACCGGUGUUUUGCUGAUGUGUCGGUGCUGCUUCUGUUUUGUUGUUGUGCGCCAGUGCUAUCGUUUUCCGGUCCUCUUCGCCGGCGAGCUGCCACCAUCGCUGCUGCACGUUGUUAUGGUUGUUGAGUUCUUCAAAUUCUUAUCUCUUUAACAAGGUGAUUGUUGGGGAAUGCCUUUAAGAAGUAUAUGAUUCAAUCUAAGAUGAAGGUCAAGUUCAUGAUUCUUGGAGGUUGCAUAUAAUCGUUCUUGAGUUAUUAUGGAGUUGGAUUAUCGUAUCGAGGUUUGUGUUGGGAGCUCAUAGUGGAUCGAAAGUAAAGAGUCGAUUAUUGAAUUGUAGAUAUCCUUGUAUUCUAAGGUUGUAUUUGGAAGUAUGCAAGCUCUUAGUGGAGAAUUUAAUAUUCUAUUGUUUUGGGAAUAAAGUAAAUUGUAAUCUGUUAUUGGUUGUGAAGAUUAUUAUGUUGUGGGCCCUGACCCAUAGGUCCAGGAUCGUGUAAAAAGGUUUUGUUUCCGCUGCGAGUAAAUAGUUAAUUCGAGGUUAUGAAAUGUUAAUUGAGUUUUA